rnacentral:rRNA from 1 species
AACGAACGCUGGCGGCAGGCUUAACACAUGCAAGUCGAACGGGCGUAGCAAUACGUCAGUGGCAGACGGGUGAGUAACACGUGGGAACCUUCCUCGUAGUACGGAACAACUCAGGGAAACUUGAGCUAAUACCGUAUACGUCCGAGAGGAGAAAGAUUUAUCGCUAUGAGACCGGGCCCGCGUCCGAUUAGGUAGUUGGUGGGGUAACGGCCUACCAAGCCGACGAUCGGUAGCUGAUCUGAGAGGAUGAUCAGCCACACUGGGACUGAGACACGGCCCAGACUCCUACGGGAGGCAGCAGUGGGGAAUCUUGGACAAUGGGCGCAAGCCUGAUCCAGCCAUGCCGCGUGAGUGAAGAAGGCCUUAGGGUUGUAAAGCUCUUUUGCCAGGGACGAUAAUGACGGUACC